rnacentral:lncRNA from 1 species
UAAAAAAAGUCAGAGAAAUAAAAUAAAAGAUUAUAGAGAGUUAAAACAAAUGGUAAAAGUUAUAGAGGGUUAAAGCAAGUUGUUGGAGGUCAGAGAAAAAGAUUGUUACAGAAAGUUAUAGAGGGUUAAAGUAAGUUAUAGAAGGUCAGAGGAAAGUUGUCAAAGGUCAGGGAAAAGGUUGUUACAAGUGAAAAAAAAAUGUAAACUGUGCUAUGGUUUCUCAUGUCUACAAACAGUAAAUUUUAAAAAUAAUAAUAUAAGUUAAAAUUUUAAUCAUAUUAAGCUGAUUUUGUUUUUAAAAAAAGUCCUGUUUAUUUCUCAAGUAAUUUAUAUAUAUUUGUUUUAAAAUGUUCUGUUUCCUGGUUUAGCCAGCACAUGGCCAACUGGUCACAUGACUUGACUGGUCGCCAUUUUGCUAAAGUUAAAAAAAAAUACUUAAGCCGCCAUCUUGACUAAAGGUGACCCCAUGGAAAUUAGAGGUACCAUCUUAGAAACAAUUUUAACCUCUGUUCCUAGUUUAAACAUGUCUUAAACAGGUUUCUGCUUCUGGCUGACAUCUGAGUAUCAGUUGCUGACUACAGGCUGUUCUAAGUAGACUGCGAGCCCUAGACUUGCUGUGGAUGUGAACCAGUCCAGCUGAUAUGGACACCCCCUAUCUCUGCAACAAUGUCUGCUAACCAGAAGCCCCUGAUGAAUUCCCCAUUGCCUAAAUUCCUUUUUGCUUUUGACUAGCAUUUCAACCUUCUGGGGUCCCUAACUUCGUCCCAAAGUCAGCAGGAAGCAGUUUGGAAAAGAAUUUCGCCGUCCAUUUUCCCUGGUUAAAAUGCUAAGUCAAAAGGAACUCCCUUACAUGGGGAUGACAGUAUCUAUCACUCCCUGAUGGGGAUGCUAGAGAGACAGCAAUUCCAUGAUUGGAAUUUCCAGAAAAGAAAAUGGGGGAAUGAAGGAACCGGCUUCCCUUUUGGCAGCCAUAAUGGUUGAACAUGUGCUUCUAUGACCUUGUCCUAGAAACCAGAAAGUCAGAUGCCUGUCUUGUGACAAGGAACCAAUCAGAAGUUAGCUGGUGGUGCUAUGCUUUAUGGCUCUGGGUGUGCUUUACGGACAAGCGCACAGCAAUGACGUAGAGAGCAUAGCAACCACCCUGGGAGGGCCUAUGAGCCAUAACAACCAGUUGACCAAUCAACACAGGGCAAGCCCUCCAAGCCUGGAGGCACACCAAUCGUAAGCCUGUGCGUACCCCUAGACACUCCCCUUACGCUGCCCUAUAAGAUCUUUGGGGAGACCUUAGGAGCCGUCUUUUCUAGCUGCCCGCCAUGGCGGGUGGGUGAAAGACCCGAGCUAACAUGGGGUUAGUUCGUUAAAUUACAAUAAAGCCUCG